rnacentral:rRNA from 1 species
CCUGACGACAAUAGAGCUGUGGCACCACCUGAUACCAUGCCGAACUCAGUAGUGAAACGCAGCAUCGCCGAUGGUAGUGUGGCAUUCGCCAUGUGAGAGUAGGUCAUCGUCAGGC